AAUGGAAACUCCCUGAGGCCUAAACAAAGACUGGAUCAGACAGGAGAGCUCAGGAAUCAGGAAGACAAAAUUCUUUCAAAGGGUGUGGGAACUGGGAAAUACCCAUCGGCCCACCUGGUGCUGGGAAGACUUCAGAAAAAAGCCACCAAGGCAGAGAGCGUAGAUGAAUUUUUUGGUAUUAUUUGUCUGGACAGGAGGAAAUGUUGGCUAUUUGAAGUUUGAUUAACCAUCAAUUCCAUUCAAGUCCUCAAAUGUUUCCAUGCAGGACACUGUCACAUGGUGGAGGACACACGUAUGAGCAAGACAGCCCCUGCAGCCAGGAGCUGCUUCCAGGUGAGGAACACAGGCUCGGACAAAACUGACCGGAACAUGAGCAAGACUGGAAUAAGAGCUGAGGCUGAGACAUGGAUCCAUGGGCGUCGGGACCCUGGCAGGAAAGCAAGAUCCUGGGGACAGAGCACCUUUCUCUGCCCACAAAGGCACUGUACAGUUGCCCAGCCCUGUCACUCGGGGCCACCUCCCCCCAGAAAGAGCUCUUUAUCUGACUUGUACAAAAGCACCUUAGGGGCUAGCAUUGCCAGGUGCAUUGGGGAGCAGUUCCUCCAGGUCUAGCCCCACCAACUUUUCCAGAUUCUGUAUUCCUCAAAGCACAGGAUACCAGACUAUGAGUUACCCAGAACCCUAUCUCCCUUCCACCAAUGGGAGCUGGCAGGAGGAGGAGAUGGACAGGAAACUUGGAAAACUCAUUCAUUCAUUCAUUCAUUCAUUCAACAAGAAAGUAUGACUCCACCCCAGGCACUAUUCCAGUCACUGGCAGUACAGAAGAGAGCAAAGACAGGGGCCAUUUGACAGCAUCUUCAGAAACCCCCACAUCAUCUAGACCCUGGGCUUCCCACCCGCCAGGCCAGGCUCUUCCUGCUAGUCCAUGCUGCCUCCUGGGGCUGCCAGUUCUUCAACCAGGCCCACGGGGCACCCACUUGCUGGCUGAAUUUCUCCCCCUGCAUCCCAGUUCUCCUCCAAGUUGGAAGAAGUCUUUGUGGUUUGGAUGAAGGAAGGGAUGAGGAGGAGGGGGACAGAGCAAAGUGUGUUUGCUGGCACCAGAAUCACAGCAGAAGCCAGUGCUGGAAACCUUCCCAAGUAUUUAGAAAUUAAAAUAAUAAAAGAAAACUGAG
rnacentral:lncRNA from 1 species